UACCAGCACCCCGGAGUGGUCGGGACGUUUAUUGGGCCUAAAGCAUCCGUAGCCGGUUCUACAAGUCUUCCGUUAAAUCCAACUGCUUAACAGGUGGGCUGCGGAAGAUACUAUAGAGCUAGGAGGCGGGAGAGGCAAGCGGUACUCGAUGGGUAGGGGUAAAAUCCGUUGAUCCAUUGAAGACCACCAGUGGCGAAGGCGGCUUGCCAGAACGCGCUCGACGGUGAGGGAUGAAAGCUGGGGGAGCAACCAGG
rnacentral:rRNA from 1 species